rnacentral:rRNA from 1 species
AACGAACGCUGGCGGCAUGCCUAACACAUGCAAGUCGAACGAGACCUUCGGGUCUAGUGGCGCACGGGUGCGUAACGCGUGGGAACCUGCCCUUAGGUUCGGAAUAACUCCCCGAAAGGGGUGGUAAUACCGGAUAAUGUCUUCGGACCAAAGAUUUAUCGCGGUUGGAUGGGCCCGCGUUGGAUUAGCUAGUUGGUAGGGUAAAAGCCUACCAAGGCGACGAUCCAUAGCUGGUCUGAGAGGAAGAUCAGCCACACUGGGACUGAGACACGGCCCAGACUCCUACGCGAUGCAGCAGUGGGGAAUAUUGGACAAUGGGCGAAAGCCUGAUCCAGCAAUGCCGCGUGAGUGAUGAAGUCCUGAGGGUUGUAAAGCUCUUUUACCCGGGAUGAUAAUGACAGUACCGUGAGAAUAAGCACCGGCUAACUCCGUG